AGAGUUUGAUCAUGGCUCAGAGCGAACGCUGGCGGAAUGCUUAACACAUGCAAGUCGCACGCCCCGGCAACGGGGAGUGGCGGACGGGUGAGGAACGCGUAGGAACAUGUCCAGAGGCGGGGGACAACCCUGGGAAACCGGGGCUAAUACCGCAUACGGCCCGAGGGCCAAAGCCGCGAGGCGCCUUUGGAGUGGCCUGCGUCCGAUUAGCUUGUUGGCGGGGUAACGGCCCACCAAGGCUCCGAUCGGUAGCUGGUCUGAGAGGAUGAUCAGCCACACUGGGACUGAGACACGGCCCAGACUCCUACGGGAGGCAGCAGUGGGGAAUAUUGGGCAAUGGGCGCAAGCCUGACCCAGCAAUUCCGCGUGGGUGAAGAAGGUCUUCGGAUUGUAAAGCCCUUUCGGCGGGGACGAUGGUGACGGUACCCGCAGAAGAAGCCCCGGCUAACUUCGUGCCAGCAGCCGCGGUAAUACGAAGGGGGCUAGCGUUGCUCGGAAUCAUUGGGCGUAAAGGGCGCGUAGGCGGCGCAGCUAGUCAGGCGUGAAACCCCCGGGCUCAACCCGGGGACUGCGUUUGAUACGGCUGUGCUAGAGGAUGGAAGAGGGCCGCGGAAUUCCCAGUGUAGAGGUGAAAUUCGUAGAUAUUGGGAAGAACACCGGUGGCGAAGGCGGCGGCCUGGUCCAUUACUGACGCUGAGGCGCAACAGCGUGGGGAGCAAACAGGAUUAGAUACCCCAGUAGUCC
rnacentral:rRNA from 1 species